UACGUAGGGUGCAAGCGUUUGUCCGGAAUUAUUGGGCGUAAAGAGCUCGUAGGCGGUUUGUCGCGUCUGCUGUGAAAACUGGAGGCUCAACCUCCAGCCUGCAGUGGGUACGGGCAGACUAGAGUGCGGUAGGGGAGAUUGGAAUUCCUGGUGUAGCGGUGGAAUGCGCAGAUAUCAGGAGGAACACCGAUGGCGAAGGCAGAUCUCUGGGCCGUAACUGACGCUGAGGAGCGAAAGCAUGGGGGAGCGAACAGG
rnacentral:rRNA from 1 species